GCAAGCAAGAAAACCACUUAGCACUUUAAGUCACAAGGAGAAAACCCUCCCAACACGAUGAUGCUAGCAGGCGGCGGUGAGCCCAGCCCCCAGGUUCAGCGCGAUGCUGUUGCCAUCAGUACUGCACCAGGGUAAUUAAGGUGGUGCCUAAAGGUGGAGACUUUGGGUGCUAACGAGUUCCUCUUUGGCCACUGCAGAAAUGAUUCCUGCCCCGCUGGUACUUGCUGUCCUUUACCUUCGAAGCCGCCUCCUCGAACAAGUGGUCAGGAGAUGUUACCAGCUCAACAUCUGUGGCCCACAGGCACCAAAUUCACCCGACUGAGCUGGGACUGACCAGCCCCGCGAUGGGCUACGGGAGAAACCAGGCCCACGUCUGGGUGCUUCUCCGGCCGAAGAGGGUGUGAGCAGCUGGGUCCAUCGCGCCUUGACCGACGCUGGUCGCAGGGAGAAGAGAGGACUAAGAGCAGACCACCAGUACAGCGGG